rnacentral:piRNA from 1 species
UAAUGUGUGAAUUUGGUUUAUGU